rnacentral:rRNA from 1 species
UACGGGGGGGGCAAGCGUUGUUCGGAAUUACUGGGCGUAAAGGGCUCGUAGGCGGCCAACUAAGUCAGACGUGAAAUCCCCAGGCUUAACCUGGGAACUGCGUCUGAUACUGGAUGGCUUGAAUCCGGGAGAGGGAUGCAGAAUUCCAGGUGUAGCGGUGAAAUGCGUAGAAAUCUGGAGGAAUACCGGUGGCGAAGGCGGCAUCCUGGACCGGCAUUGACGCUGAGGAGCGAAAGCUAGGGGAGCAAACGGG